GCUCCAGCAUGGCUGCCUUAGGGACCUGGCUAUCCAUAGGUGUCCGGAGGUUGCACAGUAGUGCAGUGGCGCGGGCCGGCAGCCAGUGGCGACUCCAGCAAGGGCUGGCUGCCAAUCCUUCCGGCUAUGGGCCCCUCACGGAGCUUCCUGACUGGUCUUUCGCGGGUGAGCCUUGAUGUCAAGGUUUUUUUUCUUUUUCCUCUGAGACCACCCGGUUGUAGGGAUUGGGGGGCGUGUCUGGGAAAAUACUGAACCUUUUACUUAGGCAAGAGUUCGAAGCUCUAAUUUUGUCUGACUACAUAGCUGAGUGUUAGUUCACCCCUGAAGUUUUAGCUUUGGAGAGUUGAGGCAGAGGGAUUGCUGUGAGGCAAAUGCUAUGUAGGGAACCCCUGAUUAUCCUGAACUACAGAAUGAGACCCUGUGUAUCAAUAAAUAAUAAAAAGGCUAAGGAAAGUAAUCUGUAGGGGAUCGUGCCCAGGAGAUACAAGGUAAUUCUAACUUGGGCUGUCCUGGGGGCUGGAAGUGUGUGUGACUUUUAUCCCCUCAGAAGUGGUAUUUUGAGAAUUUGGUUGCAAAUACACAAGGAAUUCUUUGAAAAGCUGCUGAAGAGAACACUGAAGAUCCCUACAACUCUGAAUAUGGCAGACUCAAUACAGGGAAGUCUCUUUUAAAAAAAAAAAAAGCGAAUGAGCUGUCGACACGCCUCGAGAUACGCCUCUAAUGCAGUGACUGUUCUUCCGGAGGAUUUGGGAUCGAUUCUCAACACCCACAUGGUGACUCAAAAUUGCUUGUAACUCCAGUUCCAAGAUCUCUGAUGUCAUCUUUAAGCUUCCACCUGUACCAUGCACCCACACGGUGUUCAGACAUACAUGCAAGGAAAACACCCAAUCACAUUAAGAUAAAACUUUUAAAAGGGUAAUGACACAUACCUGCAAUCAGCACUCAGGAGGCAGAAGCACUCAGAGCUACAUUGUCAAACCUCGCCUCAAAAAAAUCAAAAGUGGGGAAGAAGAAAAAAAAAAAAGCCCUGCAUUUCAUUAUACAGUGAGAUGAAGUUUAGCAAAGACUUACACUGAGUGAAGGGUUUCUGAAGGAAAAAUUAAUUCAGCAUGGCAGACCACCCUAGGUCCGUGCUAUUGACAGGGUUAAAUGAUAGGACCAUGCCUAGGAACUCCGUUUUCAUGAUUCUGUUGUACCUCACCACGGAUGCUAGAUGAGUUUCAGCUGUGGUUGUGAACUGGGUUCCUCUUCAGUAUUAUUUUUGGUGAGCAGAACUGGGACCUGAACCUAGGGCCUCACACAUGCUAUCCCCGACCCCAACCAUAGUCUGUGUGAACUGAAGAGGAAAGCUAGAGAUUUACUCUCUUCUUAAUUCCUAUCACACCAGUGUUUGGACAAGAUGCCCAGACCACAUUGAACACUUUGCCUUUCUUUCAAUUUUAUCUGUAGAUGGCCGCCCUGCUCCCCCAAUGAAAGGCCAACUUCGAAGAGAAGCUCAAAGGGAGAAGCUUGCAGUGAGUGGCUGGAACUCUAGCAAAGGCUAUGUUUAUAAAUGGAGGAGGAAAUUUUAAGUCAUCAUUUAUCUUUGUUUCCUUUAAGAUUGGAUUUUAUUUUACAUGUAUGUGUUUGGCCUGUGUGGAUGUAUGUUCGUGGUACCUGUAGAGGGUAGAGGAGGGUGUCAGGUCCCCAUGGAACUACCAAUUACAGAUGGUUGUAAGCUCCAGGGUGGCUAUUGGGAAUCGAACCUGGGUCCCAUGCAAGAGCAGAAAGUAUUCUUUAACCACUGAGUCAUCUCUCCAGCCCCAUAAGUUAGAAUUUGUUUUAAGCUGUGUUGCAUUUGAGCUGCUGUUUGGCAGUGCUUGAGAUAAAAUCCAGGGCUUUCUGCCUGCUAGACAAGCCCACCAGCAGCAGCCAUUUCUCCAGUCCUUACACCCAACUAACUGACUUCUUUCUUUCUUUUCUUUCUUUCAAUGAGGCAUACAGACACAGGCCAGCCUCAAACUCACAAGAGAUGGGCCUGCCUUUACCUCUCUAGUACUAGGAUCAAAGGAUGUUUAUCACCCUACCUGGCCCAAACCAGAUGUUGUAAUAGUACUGUGAGGAGGGAAGACUGGAACGGGGCAGGCACUUAGUUGCAGACACCAACAGCAGACGUUCCUCGGCGUCAUGUUGCUGUCAGCGUACACAUUGUCAGCGUGAAGGAAGCAUCAGAAUCUAGCUGAACACUCUUGGCUUUGGGGGAGAAGGGAUAUCUGCUCAGGGCCACAUAUGCUGGAGCCCCAGAUGUUACUUGUUCUUUUCCUGUCCCUUUCAGAGACGAGUUGUGCUGCUGACACAGGAAAUGGAUGCAGGAUUACAGGCAUGGAAGCUCAGGCAGCAGAAACUGCAGGAAGAAAGGAAGCAGAAACAUGACCUUAAACCUAAAGGGACGUCACUGAGGAACCCACUUCCAAAUCAAUAAAAAGCUCCUGUCCCACUUUCCCAGCCUCUCUGGCUUCCUUUUCUACAUCUGAAUAUUUGUUUGUUUGUUUGUUUUCUUUUUUCUUUUUUUCGGAGCUGGGGACCGAACCCAGGCCCUUGCGCUUCCUAGGCAAGCGCUCUACCACUGAGCUAAAUCCCCAACCCCACAUCUGAAUGUUUUAUCCCUGGUAGACCGAAGUCAUUUUUCUCCCGCCAUUUGUAUUGAUAGCAAAAGACCUCAGGCACCGGGAGGAACUUAAAACCACUGCCUGCCAGGCUUGGCAAAAUGCUUUAGUCCUCGCUCCGUUCCAGUUCAGCCAGAUCUUGCUCUGGAAUUAUUUCGCCCCUGGUGCUGAAGAACGCGCCCAGAGCCUUACAAAAGCUAAGCUCGCCACCACCCUCCCACUUAGCAUGCUUGGGAUUUUAAUCCUCUUCCUUGCUGGUCCGAGGGCUAACCCAGCUAAGAGCAGCAACUGCUCUGUGAGAGAAGAUAAGGGGCAGCAGCAGCUUUCCUGGUUUUCCCCCUCAUGCCUCUGUCACUCACAGCCCAUACACAGCUCAGAUGCUUACAGUUGGCACUCAAUAAAUGUUCUGUUGAAAAGGC
ensembl:lncRNA Mrpl52 mitochondrial ribosomal protein L52